CUUUUUUCGCAGGAGCUGCCCUACACUUUGCACAGACCUGGGCUCUUCCCAGAUUACCUCAUCAACAUCUUUACAAGCCAACUCAGAGAGUGCAGCAACCCUGUAGAUGGACUGCUUCACCCAGUGCUGCUGGUUCUUAUGGCUGUCACUCCCAAUGGGUAGUUUUAUUGCCAAAUUCCAUCAUAAGCAGUACUACCCAUACCCUGACCAAAGAAGGAAAGGGGAAUUAACACGACCACCUGCCUACUGAAUGCCAGGCGCUGUGCUAAAUGUGAGACUUUGAUGUCUUCAAAGCAAGGCGAGUGAGUGGCACUCUUCAGACAAGAAGGAAGAUGGCAGGUGAAAUCAUCUUCUUCUAAUGAGCCCUGUGCUAUGCUUGCUGAUGUCCUUGGUCACGGAGAUUUUCAGAAAAGCCAUGGCCUUACCAGUGAAGGUUACACAGAGGCCACUGGAGUCAAGUAAUUCAUUGCUCCUUAUUACAUUUAGGCACUUCUUUAUCCAUCAUGCAGGCUAUUGGGAUUAAAAUGGGUCCUUUCAACAAUGAGUCAAUAUUGAAGAUUCUGUGGAUCCAUUUAUUGACACAUAUUGGGUAUUCUCUGGACACAUUCCUUAACUUCAAAACUGUUUCUUGGACAUUGUGCUAGGUGCUAAGGAAACACAAAUGGAAGGUAUAAUUCUUGUCUUCUGGGUGUUCACUGUUGGGUCUGAUGCCAUACAACUAUUGUGAACACACGAGGGAAGUGUAAGCUGUGGUUCUUGCCCUCAGCCUGAGGAGCACAGUCCCUGAGGUGGAAGGGUCUCCAGAUGACAGCAGUGUCCAUGCCUUAUUUACCCUUGAUUUCCAGCACCUGCCUCCUGCCCAGCACAGUUGGGCCCCAAACCUGAUCACUGACGGGGUUGCUCUGGACCAGCCCAUCACUCAAUGCAGAGCUUCCUUCCAGUGUUUGGUGUCUGCUUGAGGAUGUGGAGAUAUGAGGGCCUCUCUCCCACUCCUGCAGCCCAUUCCAUUGUUGCUUCACACUGAUUACUAAGAGAUUUCCCUGCCUGCCUUGUAACCUGACCAACAAACCCAGAUUCUGCCCUCGGGAGUUACCCGAACUAAAACACUAUACAGACUAAAUC
rnacentral:lncRNA from 1 species